rnacentral:rRNA from 1 species
ACGGGAGGCAGCAGUGGGGAAUAUUGGACAAUGGGGGAACCCUGAUCCAGCGACGCCGCGUGAGUGAAGAAGUAUUUCGGUAUGUAAAGCUCUAUCAGCAAGGAAGAAAAUGACGGUACUUGACUAAGAAGCUCCGGCUAAAUACGUGCCAGCAGCCGCGGUAAUACGUAUGGAGCAAGCGUUAUCCGGAUUUACUGGGUGUAAAGGGAGUGUAGACGGCAAAGCAAGUCUGAAGUGAAAUGCCGGGGCUUAACCCCGGAACUGCUUUGGAAACUGUUUAGCUAGAGUGCAGGAGAGGUAAGCGGAAUUCCUAGUGUAGCGGUGAAAUGCGUAGAUAUUAGGAGGAACACCAGUGGCGAAGGCGGCUUACUGGACUGUAACUGACGUUGAGGCUCGAAAGCGUGGGGAGCAAACAGGAUUAGAUACCCUGGUA